GAUGAAGAACGUAGCGAAAUGCGAUACGUAAUGUGAAUUGCAGAAUUCAGUGAAUCAUCGAGUCUUUGAACGCACAUUGCGCCCCCUGGUAUUCCGGGGGGCAUGCCUGUCCGAGCAUCAUUGCUGCCCUCAAGCACGGCUUGUGUGUUGGGCCUCCGUCCUCCUCCCGGGGGACGGGCCCGAAAGGCAGCGGCGGCACCGCGUCCGGUCCUCGAGCGUAUGGGGCUUCGUCACCCGCUCUUGUAGGCCCGGCCGGCGCUUGCCGACACAUCAAUCUUUUUUCCAGGUUGACCUCGGAUCAGGUAGGGAUACCCGCUGAACUUAAGCAUAUCAAUAAGCGGAGGA
rnacentral:misc_RNA from 1 species